CUAUAUCCCCAGAGACCAGUUGGCUCUAUUAUAGCAACCUGUUAUAGUGAUAAUAACCGGUUAUCUUGUGUUCCAUGAACUAUAUCCCCAGAGACCAGUUGGCUCUAUUAUAGCAACCUGUUAUAGUGAUAACAACCGGUUAUCUUGUGUUCCUAGAUCAGUGAUAUCUGUUUCCAGCUGACCCCAUGACAGUCAUUGUCUCGUCAUCAUGAGAUCACACCACCUCUUCCUCCUGUUCUACCUCACAGCUCUCUGCUGCUACUGGGGAGCAUCAGAUGCACAACGAAAUGAGACCUGCCUUACGCAAG